UGGGGAAUUUUGGACAAUGGGGGAAACCCUGAUCCAGCCAUGCCGCGUGAGUGAAGAAGGCCUUCGGGUUGUAAAGCUCUUUCAGCCGGAACGAAACGGUCACGGCUAAUACCUGUGACUACUGACGGUACCGGAAGAAGAAGCACCGGCUAACUACGUGCCAGCAGCCGCGGUAAUACGUAGGGUGCAAGCGUUAAUCGGAAUUACUGGGCGUAAAGCGUGCGCAGGCGGUUUUGUAAGUCAGAUGUGAAAUCCCCGGGCUUAACCUGGGAACUGCGUUUGAAACUACAAGGCUAGAGUGUGGCAGAGGGGGGUGGAAUUCCACGUGUAGCAGUGAAAUGCGUAGAGAUGUGGAGGAACACCGAUGGCGAAGGCAGCCCCCUGGGUUAACACUGACGCUCAGGCACGAAAGCGUGGGGAGCAAACAG
rnacentral:rRNA from 1 species